GCAGGCUCUUGAUAAGUGCCAACUUGGAGAAGAAGUGAGGAGUAAGGAAGGGAAGCUUGACUCACCAGUUACGGAGAAUGGAGAAAACUGGAGUGUGGGUCAAAGGCAGUUGGUGUGUCUCGGGCGUGUGUUACUCAAAAAGACGAAAGUCUUGGUACUUGACGAAGCUACUGCAUCAGUAGACACUGCAACUGAUGGAAUGAUACAGCAAACACUUGUGGAACACUUUACCGACACAACUAUGAUAAUGAUCGCACAUCGAAUCACCUCUGUGCUUGAUAGUGACAUGGUUUUGGUUCUAGAACAAGGUCUGAUUGAAGAAUAUGAUUCUCCAACAAAGUUGCUGGAAGAUAAAUCAUCAUCAUUUGCAAAGCUUGUUGCGGAGUAUAGUAUGAGGUCUAGUUCCAGUUAUAAAAA